GUCCACGCCCUAAACGAUGUCUACUAGUUGUUGGGAGGAGUAAAUCUCUUAGUAACGCAGCUAACGCGUGAAGUAGACCGCCUGGGGAGUACGGUCGCAAGAUUAAAACUCAAAGGAAUUGACGGGGGCCCGCACAAGCGGUGGAUUAUGUGGAUUAAUUCGAUGCAACGCGAAAACCUUACCUGGCCUUGACAUGCUACUAACGAAGCAGAGAUGCAUUAGGUGCCCGAAAGGGAAAGUAGACACAGGUGCUGCAUGGCUGUCGU
rnacentral:rRNA from 1 species